GUGAGGAAUCUUGCGCAAUGGGCGAAAGCCUGACGCAGCGACGCCGCGUGGAGGACGAAGGUCUUCGGAUCGUAAACUCCUGUCGAGCGGGACGAAUGCCGGAAGGGUGAACAAUCCUUUCGGUUGACGGUACCGCUGGAGGAAGCCCCGGCUAACUCCGUGCCAGCAGCCGCGGUAAUACGGAGGGGGCCAGCGUUGUUCGGAAUCAUUGGGCGUAAAGGGCGCGUAGGCGGCCGAGCAAGUCGGAUGUGAAAUCCCCCGGCUCAACCGGGGAACUGCACCCGAAACCGCUCGGCUUGAGUCCUGGAGAGGGUAGCGGAAUUCCCAGUGUAGCGGUGAAAUGCGUAGAUACUGGGAGGAACACCGGUGGCGAAGGCGGCUACCUGGACAGGUACUGACGCUGAGGCGCGAAAGCUAGGGGAGCAAACAGGAUUAGAUACCCCUGUAGUCC
rnacentral:rRNA from 1 species